AAAUGAAUCACAUUUGUUCGCUCUACUACGCAACUUCUCAAUGAUUUUAUGUCGCGAACUUUUCAUCUUUUCGUCCGGCGUAUGACAAAUGGUUGGUGGCAAGCGACAUUUUGUUAUAUUAUAAGAUUUACUAACAUAACAAGAUAUUCUGUCCGAGAGAUUUGCACGAAGAUAUUUUGCCCUUGGUUCGUUGGCCACGUAAAACAUGUGCAUCUUUUUUAAAAGGUUUGCAUCAAGCAUAUCUUUAAUUUUGGUUUGAUUACUAGGAACAAAAGAGACCUUGGUUCGACUGUCCUCAUUCUUCAAGUCACUUUUCUGUUGUUUUUUUUCUCUUGCUUUGCUGGAAGUAGAAACAUGGAAAACCUUAGCUUUACUUCUGUAAAUUUUUGCUUGUGUAUGUGUCCCUGUCUUUAUUGGUAUGAUUGGUAUGAGUCUGAUUGCUUCAACUUUAUUUUCCUUUACGUUCUGAUCAGGUUUAUUGCUCUUCGAUAUUUUAUCAGGUAGAUGUGCGAGUCUGGAUCGCGUAUUUCUAUCUCUUGGUUGUGUUGUUUUGCAGCCUUUCCCAGAAGUAUGAAUGGUUAAGGUGGUCCUUUUCUGUAAACUGUUUUCUACCAUUUUUACAAAACCCUGUUGAAUCCCAACAAUGCAUGCGGCCCGGCACAUUCGUACCCAUGCAAUUGCAUGCAAGGCCUCAAAUCCCCAGAAUCUCACAAGUGCACAUGCAAGCAACGUACCCGUUCUGCCCCGUCCUGCGUGACAAUGGACAGCAAUGGGAUUUUGUGCCUUUCUCACCAACUUCAGAAAAGUGUUCAGUUGCGCUUCUGAUGGAACACCACCAUCUUUAAAGAAUAUAUCAUGAUGCUUAAUUGCACAACAAACAAACUCUUCGGAGUCAUAUGGUUGUCCAUAACUUGUGCGAUACUCGUAGUCUCGUCCGUUUAAUCGCACUACAGUCUCGACCUUUUUUUGUUUUAAUGCUUCAAGUAUGGAAGAGCGGACUUUGGGUCCACGUCCAAGAUAACGAGGCUCUUUGGGAUCUUCUAGAGCAAUGAGACGUCCUGGUACAAUCCAGUUUAUAAUGUCCUCACUUCCGUCGCACAGGUUAAUGCUGACAUCAUAGUCUCGUUUUCGAAACCAUUGAUUUACCAUUACUCCUUGAUGAACAGCGUACCAACAAUCCAACAAAGUUAAAGCAUGAGCUGUCGAGCCUUCCAUGUCCGUGUAUGGAGAAACGUUGCCGGUAAACGCAUCCAAAACGUUUCUUGUUUCAACUGGUGUAUAAUUAUGUUCGAUAAUAAGGUAGCAACCCAUAAGGAAGAUGGCGUUAGUACGUUUUUGUUGGAAGCUCAAAGUGUGAAAGUUGUUCGUGUAAUAUAGAUGUCUCCCAGCUGUAUGUUUUAAACUCGUCACUACCAUAGUACAAUGACGCUUUAUGUUCAUCAAUGACAUCGGGCCGAAGUAUUUUCUGAUCUUUGUGCAUUUAUAUAAGUUAUCCAUGCUGUGGUAAUGGUAAAUGAAACCAUCUCGUUCGUUCAUAUGAAUACCACUCAAAGGAUUGUCUGCGCGAAUUUGAAAAAACACGCGAUUUGGUACCAAUUCUAUCAUUCCUUUCAUAACAAAGUCGAUUUCUCCAAAUAAUUUAAUUCUUUUUGUUGUUUUUUUACAUUCUGAUUUUUCUGAUCUUUGCUACAUGUGCUACCCAAUCAUUUGAAAUUAUUGCAACCGUUUCCAUGGCAACAAUUGUUACGUCAAUGCCAAUGAAUUAUAAGAUUACAAGUAACUGGAAUGAUAACUCAGGGGAUGGGGUUGGUUUGAAGUCAUGUUUUUUAUGUAGUGCCAGUCCUUUGUAACCUUAAUUCUUUUAAAAAUGUUUCUUUAUUAAACUUUUUACUCAAGUAAUUAAAUGUCUGAAGUAUUACCAACAAAAACAAAUUUGCAGUUUCCUGUUAAAUACAAAAACUAUCAAAGUUUCCGAAAAUUUGAAUGAUCAAAUAAAAAGAAAAAUAGGGAGCUUAAGCUAGCGAUGUUUUGAAAUCUGUAACGUUAAAGCAGAAGUAAAUUUAACAAUUUUGAUGACGUAACCUUUGAGGCGAAGUCAAAAACGGCAAAUUGGCUGUUUUAGCGUACUUGUUUUUAACAGAAACGUCAUUUUUUUGUUUUUCUCCCUAAAAAUGUGUGUGUUGACAUAUUCAAAUAAGAACAGUACAUUCAAUUAAAGGCAAAAGAAAGCUUAGCUUAUUCCCAAACGUUAUUCAUGACGUUCCUGCUGACAAAAACGUUGCUAGCUUCAGUUCAUUAAAUCAAAAAGAUCUAAACCAAUAAAAACUUUAUAAAACAUGUUUAAGGUUUUUUUAAAUAAUAAAUGUUAGAAAAAGACACAGUGUCGGAAGAAGUUAAUUAAAACAUUGCUUGAUUUAUUUUAUGAGAAGAACUCUUGUAAACAAAAUGAUGAAGUUCUAAAGCAAAAAAACAUCGUUUUCGGUCCAUGCUUCCCGAUGCCUUCUUAAGCGUAAGGCACUAGAACGCCGCAUGUUAACGCUUCGGUUGGAGAUUUCGGCCCCUCCACGCUAUCCUACUUGGGGAUGUCAAAAACAUCACUUCGGAUAAGCUGGACGCUAAAAAGAUCAAGGAAGAAAUCAAAAUAGCUGUUAUGAUGGAGAUGAGUAUCCUGAAUUGAUGCCUAUUCCUUUCGGCUACGCUGCGAGAAAUUCAAGAGUUAUGAAUUGCGAGAAUGAAUUCGAGGUGUUGCAGAUGCUUGGAAAAAGGAGGGUUUGCUUCAGUUGUCGAGGUACGUAAUAAAUUGGAUGGCUGUCUCUACGCGAUCUAAGAAACUAUUAUAACAAAAUAGAUGAUCCCUUUUUUGCAUGAAGCACAUGGAUGCUUUCGUUCAUAAUGAGAAAGUCAUAUUGUAUAAGAGGCUCUCGUUCAUCACGAGAGAGUUAUGAGAAAGUCACAAUGUAAAAGGUAACAAGUAAAAAAACAUAUAAACAUGUUUAGAGUCGGUUUAAGUUAUCAGUCAAAAAGGCAGAAGUUGUUUGAACCUUUGCAGUAUCCUUUGAUGUUCUAGUUUCUUUUAUGAAAAACGUCUAUAUGUUCGUACAUUUACUUUAGAAAAUGUCUAGUAAAGAAAAAGAGAAAUUUUAAAAACAAAAA